rnacentral:rRNA from 1 species
GACGAACGCUGGCGGCGUGCUUAACACAUGCAAGUCGAACGGAAAGGCCCUGCUUUUGUGGGGUGCUCGAGUGGCGAACGGGUGAGUAACACGCGAGUAACCUGCCCUUGACUUUGGGAUAACUUCUGGGAACUGGGGCUAAUAUCGGAUAGAAGCUCCGGCUGCAUGGUGGGGGUUGGUAAGUUUCGGCGGUUGGGGAUGGACUCGCGGCUUAUCAGCUGUAUUGUGUGGUAGGGGCGUACCAAGGCUUUGACGGGUAGCCGGCCUGAGAGGUUGACCGGCGACAUUGGGACUGAGAUACGGACCAGAAUCCUACGGGAGGCAGCAGUGGGGAAUAUUACGCAAUGGGCGGAAGCCUGAUGCAGCAACGCCGCGUGCGGGAUGACGGCCUUCGGGUUGUAAACCGCUUUCGCAUGUGACGAAGCGUGAGUGACGGUAAUGAGUAAAGAAGCCACGGCUAACUACGUG